GCAAUCUUCCUAGCUUGGCCUCCCCAAGUGUUGAGAUUACAGGCAUGAGCCACCGUGCCCAGCCCUGGCUGCUGUUUUGAACAGCACAGAAUUAGAGCUUAGAGAAUGAGUACCCUGCUCAUACCUCACCAGACCCUCCACCACCUGCAUCAUUACAAAACUAAUCUUAGCACAAAACAUAUUGUUUGGGGACUCAAAGAUUCCCUUGAACAUACCUGGUUAUUUUUAUACUCAUUCCAGCCUCUGUUUUCAGCACAAGCCUCAAGUUUUUGUUUUGUUUUUUCUCUCUCACUGUUUAUCAGCAGGUAGGUGUGCAUUAGGUCAGGUGGAAGGCCAGAGGGGCAGAGUGGCGCCUCCGAAAUCAGAUGAACCCGUCCUGCCCUUUCCCUGGGCUGUGUGGCCUUGAGCAAGCCCCUUAACCUCUCUGAGCCUCUGCUCCUCCAUCCCUGGAAAGGGAGAGUGGUUUCAAGGGUUGAGCACCCCUCCAUGUAGGAACUCAAUACCUAGUAGCGAUGAUUGUUAUUGUUCCUAUGUAAACCUCUUUGUAAACUAUAAAACCUUGCACAAAUGUGAGGCAAAAUACUGCUGUCAAAAAUUUUUCUUUUUAAACAAAAUGCUCUGAAACUUGGAGGAAACUGCAUCAACCAGGCCCAGGAGACAAACCAAACUCUCCAAGCAAUAAAUCUGGACGCUUUCUGCUUUUCCCAUCGAGCGAGCAUGUUGCCGUUAGCCCUGCAACCACGGAAUUGGGAUGAAGAUUUGUUGAUUGUCUGAGGUCUUCCAGCGACCAGCCUGUUGGGGGGGGAGACACUUGGGUAGGGCCAAGGGCUGAAGGGAGACGCUGAGAGCCUGCCCAGGAAUCUGGCAGAGGCACCUCUACUUUGGGGGAUAGUUGAGGUCCAGUUCGUUUUUCCUCUUCACGGAUUCCCUGGUAAAUCCUACAACUUUAGCGAGGGCAGGAAAUUAUAGCGCCCCCAUUUACAGAGGAGGGAACUAAGGCUUCAAGAAGUUUGCUCAGGUCAAACAGCUGUUCCUGACUUCUGGACAGCCCCAUGGAGGCCUGCCCAGGACUCCCUGCCAUGCCUAAUACCCUCCUUCUCCCCUACCCUCGUGUAGCUGACCCAAAGUCCAGGGUGACCAUCUGCUCAUGACAUUUGCUCAUGACAGUUUAGUUUUAACCUGUUGUUCCAGCAUAAUAAUUAAUAGUAUCCCCUUUUAAUAAUGAAAAAUGCCCCAUUUGGACAAUAAAUUAUAUGCCCACCCCCACCCCCCAGUCUAAGUAAAAACAAUGAUAACUGAGAUGUUUUUCCCAGAAGCCUUCAGUGCUCUGGGGAAUGGAAAAACCCAACCUGGAAAAACAUGCAAAUAUCUCAGAGAUUUGUUUCCUUUAGAAGCCAAGCUGGAAACUCCCAUGUUCUCACACAUCUCCAUGCCUUUCCAUGUGCUGUGCCUCCUGCCUAGACUCUGCCCCCAGAUUUCUUGGCCAACCCUGCAUCCACCUGGGGGUGUGGCUGUCUCUCUCGGGGACCAGCCACACGCCCAGACCAUCCUGUCCUGACUCUCAGGAGGCCUGUCACCAGCCAGUCACUAUCCCUUGGGAGUUGCCCUGAGAGCUGGGGUGGGAAGCUGUGCUCUGGCCCACACGGAAUGACUCAGAACCGGGCAAUCAUGACACCAGCGGUUCUCAGAGUGUGGAACCCACAGCCCCAGCAGCCCCCAGGCGCUUGUUGGAAAUGCAAAUUCUCGGGUCCCACAGGAGACCUGCUGCGUCAGCAGCUCCGGGACAGCCCUGCAGUCUGUGCCUUUGACAAGCCCUACAGGUGACUCUGAUGCAGCAGUCGGUAACUGACGCCCUGCGCCACCUCCCCAGCCACCCAGCCCACACGGCGGCCACUCCCCGGGCCUGCUGCCUACCGCAGGGACUCCAGCCGCCACCUCGGCUGGCUCGCCAGGUGUUCUGCAACGGACCAGAUAAGAAAGGAAAACUGCCCCACUUUUGAACAAUAGGAACACUCUCCACUCAAAAAAAUUUUUUUAAAUACACAGUUAAAUCUUCACAAUGAAAGCUGAAAUCCAAAGAAACUGGCAUCCAAACCCUUCCUCCCUCCAUUUUCAUUCUGCUCAGUCUUGACCAGGGGCUCCUGGGGUAACAGAGCCCCUCGCAUGCCGGCGUUCCUGCAGCUGCCUCCUGGGCCAUCUCCUGCGUCACCGGUGUGGCCCUUUCACCUCCUCCCCUGGCGAAUUAACCCGACCCCACGUCCCCAGAGCACCCUGCUCUUCCACAGUCUCACUGGAUAGGAUGCGAAGAAUCCUCGCACCAGCCUGAGGGUAGAAACUACAAGCAGACUCAUUCCCUCCGGCAGUUGUCUCAGCAAAACGGUGCUCCCGGAACCCGUAUAAUCCAGACCCAUGAUGUCCUCGCCAGCCAGGGACCAGAGCAGAGGCAGAGCGUGAGCGGGUGGAGAAAGGAGAAGAUGCGGGCCUCAGCUGUCCCAGGGGGCCGCUUCUCAAGAGAGUGGCCUUAGGGAUGCUUCCAUGUCCUCUUGCACAAUUUACACAAUUCCAACUGUGGCUUUUCCCAGUCUUAGGACCUGCAUGGGCCACCUUCUCCAGGUGCCAAGUCUACAUGUUUGUAAUAUCUAGGUCCUCUUUGCACCCAGGCGCUGGUGCCCUGGACUGUGGGCCCUGUCUGGGGUCCCAGCCUCUGACCCAUGAGCAGGGGACCCCUUGUGUGUAACGAGUCCGUGACUCACUAGACUGUCUGUUGCUCUUCUCUGUGCAUUUCUUUGUUUAGCAAGUUCUUGAGCUUGUGCUAUGGGCUCAUUGCUGCUGCCCAGCCACUGUUCUGGAAUCCUCCAGCCUUUGUAACUCAACAAGUCACCAUUUACCAUCUCUUCCCAGCCAGGCAGUGGGUGAGGCGCCAACGCCGCAGCGGCGAAGGAGGACGACAGGAGUCCUGCCCCGUGGGCUCCCAGGCUAGUGCAGGGUGGGUGGCCAGGACCGGAAAUGCAGCACGUCAGCAAGACGAGUCUGGGGGUGCCACGGUGGGGGACAGAUGACAGUGCCUAGAGGAGUUCAGGAAAUGGGGAGGUCAGAGAUGGCCCCCAGCGGGCUGACAUUUGUGACAGUCUGUGGGAAGAGCCUUCCAGGCAGAGGGAACAGUGAGUGCAAAGGCUCAGAGGUAGGGAAGGGUUGGUGCCUCUGAGGAACAGGAAGGCAGUGGGCAGCGGAGGACGGGAAGGGGACAGGGCUCCUUCCCGCAGUGCUUGCCAGGCUGGGGUCAGAGCGUGCUGUGGUUUGAAUGUCCCCUCCCAAACCCAUGUUGAAAUGUAAUUGACAUUGGACGGUAUUACGAAGUGUGACCUGGGCUGUUAAGAGGUGAUUAGGCCAUGAGGGCCCGGCCCCGUGAAUGGGUUGAUGUCGUUGUCGCAGAAGAGGGUUGGCAUAAAAGCCAGUUUGGCCCUCUCUUGUCCACUCACUCCCCGACACGCGCUUGCCCUUCUGUCUUUGGCCACGGCAGGACCACACAGCCCAAAGCCCUCACCCUGACCUUGGACUUCUCCGCCUCUAGCACUGUAACGAAUAAAUUUCUUUUCUUUAUAAAUGACCCCAUCCAUGGCAUUCAGCUAUAGCAACACAAAACAGACUAAGACCAAGUUUAAUUUUAAUCUGGGAGUAGCAAGAAGCUGGGAAGGGGUUAGAGCAGGGCAUGCGAUGACCCACUUUGCAUUUCGGAACGUUUCCUCUGCCUUCUGAGUGGAGAGACCCAGGAAUUCUCUGUCCCCUCACAUCCGUCUCAGUAGAAAACCAUUCUCGGAUUCCCACGCGGAAGCUUCUGAAACCCGAGGCCCCAGAGCGCAGGGAGGACCGAGUGCCCUCUGCCUGGCUCCUCCGACUGGGCCUCGCCUCAGCUUUUGUUCUCAGGUUUUGAGGAGCCAGGAGACUUCAAGGGUGCCGGGGGCCUUUCCUCUGACCCUUCUGCCUGUAGCUACGGGUGGAGCCUCGGCCUCCCGCCCUCUGCGGCCCCGCUCCUUUCAAGCCGGCCCAACUGUGCUUUUAAAACCUGGAAGCUGCCUCCUGACGGCCCUUCCCUUUCUCGAGCGCGCGCGAGCCAAGGCUGUUUACGGGGUCCAGGGCCUUCUUUACUUUCCCACUUGGAACCUUCUGGAUUUGUGGCAGGUGUGAAGGCAAUGAGUUCUGGGUCCACUGAAAGCAAAUACUGAUCAAACAUUCUGUUCUGUCACCGCUACCCUCCCCCAUGGGCAAGUCCAACCAGGAGACAGUUGUCCAUGAGUGUCUCCCCCUGGCCUGGUCCUCCCUAAGCCCGCCCUGCCGUGCCCCCUUCUGCUGUGUCGUUCUCUGUGUGCUUCCGGUGGGGUGCUGAGGGCCUGGCCCUCUCUCACACAGUUCCCACCUAUGAUCCCCUUGUGGCCUGGACACCCUCCUGUCCAAAGCUCACCGGAUCACCAACGGGACACCCCAACAGCCUUGACUGCCACCACCCACUGGUGUCAUGGACCUCAGCUCCCUGAGAUCUUGCCUCUGCCUCUGUUAAAUCUCUCUGGGCACCUGGAUCCCAGUGUUGCUGUCAUAGCUCACUGUAAUCUCGAACUCCUAGGCUCAAGUGAUCCUCCUGCCUCAGCCUUCUGAGUACUAGGGACUAUAGACACAGGGUACCAUACCAAGCUAAUUUUUAAAUUUUUUUGUAGAGAUGGGGUCUCACUAUGCUGCCCAGGCUGGUCUCGAUUUCUUGGCCUGCUCAAGUGAUGGUCCCGCCUCAGCCUCUAAAGUGCCAGGAUUACAGGUGUGAGCCACUGUGCCCAGCCCAUGAAGCUCUCUUCCACUCAUUCAUGGUUAAAACCUCUAAAGUGUACAGCUCAGAUCAGAGUUUAAGAAAUAAAGCAUUUCAGAGACAUGUCCCUCCCUUGUGUGGGUGACCAGCUUAUCCCGGUUUUGACUUUCUUGCUUUUAGCACCGAGUAUCCCACACUCUAGGAGCCCCAUCAGCCCUCAGCAGGCAGGAUGGCUGAUGGCCCUGGCCCCAGCCCCAGUUCAAGACAAGAGGAGCAGAAUUCAGGGCAGUUCAUCCAGCGCCAUCUGCCUGGGCCUAGCACUGACCAUUUGAAGGUCCCCAAAUGUCAAACUCAUUUUUUCUAGCUCGUGUGGAACUCGGCUGUCUUUGCAUUUUCUCCAUCUUGGCUGUGCAUCAGAACCACGGAGGAGCUUGUAAAGAUGCCCCUCUCUCCCCCAACCGGCUGGGGUUGGCCCUGGGUGCUGGUCUGGUGCAAAGGCCCCAGGCGACCAGUGGGCAGCCAGGCGAGAUGACCCAGGGCCUCUGCACCACAAUGCCAAGAAUAAAGCUGGCCAUUUGGGCAGAAGCCCAGGGGCAUUUCCUGACCCCAGGAAACAAAUCUCUCCACCAGCCUGAGCAGUAUGCGUGCCAAGCCAAGCCUGUCACGACCUCGAAAAUUAAUCUAUUUUCUGGCUAAUCACAGCCACAGCCCCAUGCCUGUGAAUCCAGCCAAAGCGCUCAACACCCCAAGGCACAGUGGCAUCUGUGGCCCACAGGCCAAAGGCUUCUUCUCUUCGCUCCUUUGAUGAUCUCAUUGAAUCCUGUGGCUUUAAAUGUCAUUUUUAGGCUGGCAACUCCCAAAUUUAUAGCCCAUGCCCUAACUUCCCCUUAGCUCACAGCUCCAGACCCACGCACGCAGCUGCCUCCUUCACACGGCGCUGUCUCAACCCGCAUCUCAACCCACCAUGCUGCCUUGUGUCAGGACAGGCCACUAGCGACCCGAGGUCCAGCCCAGAGCUGACACUGUGCUUCUCACCAUCCUCCUCUGACCCACCCGCAAGUCCUGCCUCUGGCCCCGUCCAUCCCUGCCGCCUCCAACCUCUCUCCACCCCCACCAAGCCCCGGCCCCUGUCCCCUUAGGCCUGGGAGGCCCCACUAGCCUCCUGCCUCCCUCCUUCCUCUCUCGCUGCCCUAAGUCUAUUCUCUGCCCAGAAACCAGAAAGGUUUUUAAAACAAGCACCAAACAUCUUUACAGGGAUAUCAUUUAUAUGCUAUAAAAUCCACCCAUUUAAAAGAUGUACGAUUCAUAUUUUUUUGGUAUAUUCACAGAGUUGUGCAACCAUCAUCAUAGGCUAAUUUUAGAACAUUUCUCACCCCAGAAAGAAUACUCACAGCCAUUAGCAGUCGCUCCCUCCCUCCACAGCCCCAGGCAGCCGCCGGUCUACUUUCUGCCUCUCUGGACAUUUCACAUAAAUAGAAUCACGUGGUCUUCAUGUCUGGCUUCUGUCACUCAGCAUAAGGGUUCUAAGGCUUAUCCCAGCUGUAGCAAGUGUCCAAGCAUCAGUCCUUUCUAUGGCCAACUAAUAUCUUUUGCGUGGAUACACCAUAUUUUGUUUUUCCAUUCAUCACUGGAGAUUUUGGUUUUUUCUGCUCUGGGGCUAUCAGAAAGUUUUUUUUUUAAAAAAAAAAAAAAAACAAACAAAAACAAGUCAUUGGCCGGUGAGAAGGUAGUGAGUUAUCUCACUUGAUUGUUCACAGUCAGUUACGGAUUGAACUCCUUGUUCUACUACUGUCCCCCCUUCUCGCUACUGCUCUUGACUAGUCAAAAAAAAAAAAAA